AUUCAGAAGACAUUGGAUAUCUUCUCUUCUAGGGCUUGGAAUUUUUCUACCCAGCUAAGAAGGCAACAACCCCAAGAUCCCUCCAUGGAAAUGGUUUCCUAAUUGAAAUGUGCCGAAGCAAUUGAAAUGUGGUACCUCAGUGAAUUACUGUCAGACACCGUAACCUUUCGACCAGCUAGAAUCUUGUCGUGAGAGGAGACCGUGUACGUUGGUGAAAGUUUAGAAAAAAGAAUCCCCCUUAUUCAAUCAACUAACAAAGACCCAUGGAGUACCCCGGUGGGGGCCCCAAAGAAGAUGCAAAGAAGAAAAACACAAUCUUUGCCCUGAAGGAGUCGUCAUCUUUUGAGGAAACAAAACAUCAUGUCAUAGUUAUACUGUAGUGAGCUCAAGCUCUCAA